GGGAGCUAGCGCACGGCUGGCUGCAGAGCCAGGGAUAGGCUGAUGCUUGGAGGAGGCUGCUUCCGCUUCACUGGUGUAGCUGUGGUCACCUUCUCCAGGAUGAACCUGUUGGAGACUGUUCCUGUUUAGUUUUUUAGAGGCCCUGUCUGGAAAUGUUCCUCUCCUCCUCCACACCAAGGCCAGGCUGACGGACAGAGAAAAGCACUGAAGAAAGAAGACAAAAAGCCAGGCACAGAGAGCAGGAACAUGCAGAGCUCUCGGCUCCCACACACGGGAGGAGGCUGGAGAACCAGGUCAGCGGUGACAGAAGGAGCUGGAGGCAUAAAUCACAGUCAAGGGCAGGAGUCUCAUCCUCCUGGGCCCCUCUGCACCUCUCAGAUCCCGGAUGGGGCACGGAGGAUUCUCUGAUGGAUUGUCCUGGCUGUAUGUGUGGCCCUCACAGCAGAAGGAGUAUCCAAAGUCUCCUCGGGAAACGAAGAGCAUAGUGACAGAAGAGGAAGGCAGCCAAACCUCACAGUGUGUGGCCACAUUGGACCUCAGCU